GGAUGAACGCUAGCGGCAGGCUUAACACAUGCAAGUCGAGGGGCAUCGGGAGGGAAGCUUGCUUUCCUUGCCGGCGACCGGCGCACGGGUGAGUAACACGUAUGCAACCUGCCCUCUUCAGGGGGACAACCUUCCGAAAGGGAGGCUAAUCCCGCGUAUAUCGGUUUCGGGCAUCCGAGAUCGAGGAAAGAUUCAUCGGAAGAGGAUGGGCAUGCGGCGCAUUAGCUAGACGGCGGGGUAACGGCCCACCGUGGCGACGAUGCGUAGGGGUUCUGAGAGGAAGGUCCCCCACACUGGUACUGAGACACGGACCAGACUCCUACGGGAGGCAGCAGUGAGGAAUAUUGGUCAAUGGGAGAGAUCCUGAACCAGCCAAGCCGCGUGAGGGAAGACGGCCCUAUGGGUUGUAAACCUCUUUUGUCGGAGAACAAAACCCGGGACGUGUCCCGGACUGCGUGUAUCCGAAGAAAAAGCAUCGGCUAACUCCGUGCCAGCAGCCGCGGUAAUACGGAGGAUGCGAGCGUUAUCCGGAUUUAUUGGGUUUAAAGGGUGCGUAGGCGGUCUGUUAAGUCAGCGGUAAAAUUGCGGGGCUCAACCCCGUCGAGCCGUUGAAACUGGCAGACUUGAGUUGGCGAGAAGUACGCGGAAUGCGCGGUGUAGCGGUGAAAUGCAUAGAUAUCGCGCAGAACUCCGAUUGCGAAGGCAGCGUACCGGCGCCAGACUGACGCUGAGGCACGAAAGCGUGGGGAUCGAACAGGAUUAGAUACCCUGGUAGUCCACGCAGUAAACGAUGAAUGCUGGUUGUCCGGGUCGAAUGAGAUCUGGGCGGCGAAGCGAAAGCGAUAAGCAUUCCACCUGGGGAGUACGCCGGCAACGGUGAAACUCAAAGGAAUUGACGGGGGCCCGCACAAGCGGAGGAACAUGUGGUUUAAUUCGAUGAUACGCGAGGAACCUUACCCGGGCUCAAACGGGAGUGGAAUGGACCAGAGACGGUUCAGCCUACGGGCCGCUUCCGAGGUGCUGCAUGGUUGUCGUCAGCUCGUGCCGUGAGGUGUCGGCUUAAGUGCCAUAACGAGCGCAACCCCCGCCGGCAGUUGCUAACGGGCAAUGCCGAGGACUCUGCCGGGACUGCCGCCGCAAGGCGUGAGGAAGGCGGGGAUGACGUCAAAUCAGCACGGCCCUUACGUCCGGGGCGACACACGUGUUACAAUGGGCGGUACAGCGGGAAGCCAGGCGGCGACGCCGAGCGGAACCCGAAAGCCGUUCUCAGUUCGGAUCGGAGUCUGCAACCCGACUCCGUGAAGCUGGAUUCGCUAGUAAUCGCGCAUCAGCCAUGGCGCGGUGAAUA
rnacentral:rRNA from 1 species